AUUGAACGCUGGCGGCAUGCCUUACACAUGCAAGUCGAACGGUAACGCGGGGCAACCUGGCGACGAGUGGCGAACGGGUGAGUAAUGCAUCGGAACGUGCCCAGUUGUGGGGGAUAACUGCUCGAAAGAGCAGCUAAUACCGCAUACGACCUAAGGGUGAAAGCGGGGGAUCGCAAGACCUCGCGCAAUUGGAGAGGCCGAUGUCGGAUUAGCUAGUUGGUGGGGUAAAGGCCCACCAAGGCGACGAUCCGUAGCUGGUCUGAGAGGACGACCAGCCACACUGGGACUGAGACACGGCCCAGACUCCUACGGGAGGCAGCAGUGGGGAAUUUUGGACAAUGGACGCAAGUCUGAUCCAGCCAUGCCGCGUGCGGGAAGAAGGCCUUCGGGUUGUAAACCGCUUUUGUCAGGGAAGAAAUCUUCUGGGUUAAUACCUCGGGAGGAUGACGGUACCUGAAGAAUAAGCACCGGCUAACUACGUGCCAGCAGCCGCCGUAAGAC
rnacentral:rRNA from 1 species